rnacentral:lncRNA from 1 species
CCUUGGCCUCCCAAAGUGCUGGGAUUACAGGCAUGAGCCACCGCACCCAGCUACCAUUUGAAGAUGAACACUGACAUUUGUGACAUUUAAAUAACAGUUCAGGUCUGCUAUUAAACCAAGGCCUCCAACUGUUUAACCUUUGCCCUUGUGUACUAUUACCCUUGGCCCAGUGCAUGCAAAUGUACUUAUUAAUGCAUUUGAGCUUUCUGAUGCCACAUGUUUAUUUAGUUUUGCUGAAUACCUUGCUUCAUGGGAACUGCACUGCACCAAACACGAAAUUUGUUUUAAAACUUUUAAAUGUGACACAUUCCAAGCCUCUCUCAGAGACUAUUUUUAUACAGCUUAAGUUAAAUAAAAAGUUGAGGCAAUUAUCCAAAAUCUUCCCGUGGGUGGAGGAGUGUGUAUUUCUUGAACUAAAAUUAUUUAGAGAAAUCCAAAGCCAUUCAUUCAUUCAACAAAAGUUUGUAAGGGCUUUUUAUGUAUCACAUACUAUGCUAGAUCAGAAAUAAGGAAAACGUACUCCCUGCCCUUAAAAUAUUGUAGCUGUGUGAUUCUAUGGCCCUACUAACGUAGGCAUGUACCUUAUCUCAGAUGGAGGAGCUGGUCAGGGAACAGCAACUAUGCAUAAGAAACGUGAAACCUUCCAGUCGUGACCUAUUUCAGAACAGAACUGCAGGCUUGAGAGCGGACAGUGCUGGGUUGGUUCCAAGUCUUUGCUAUUGUGAAUAGUGCCGCAAUACACAUAUGUGUGCAUGUGUCUUUAUAGCAGCAUGAUUUAUAAUCCUUUGGGUAUAGUCAGGUGUGAAAUUUUCUACUUGAGGUGGACCUCAUGGAUCUCACUUUGCUU